rnacentral:rRNA from 1 species
UACGUAGGGAGCAAGCGUUAUCCGGAUUUAUUGGGUGUAAAGGGUGCGUAGACGGGAUUACAAGUUGGUUGUGAAACCCCUCAGCUCAACUGAGGAACUGCAACCAAAACUAUAAUUCUUGAGUGCAGGAGAGGAAAGUGGAAUUCCUAGUGUGGCGGUGAAAUGCGUAGAUAUUAGGAAGAACACCGGUGGCGAAGGCGACUUUCUGGACUGUAACUGACGUUGAGGCACGAAAGUGUGGGGAGCAAACAGG